rnacentral:rRNA from 1 species
ACUUACGAAAAGAAUAUUAGUUCCACCUAAAGUUGCUUACACACUUCCCAAUGCUUAACUUUAGAGUAACUCAAAUAGGGUACAGCCUAUUUGAAACAGGACACAACCUAAACUGGAGGGUAAUUUAAUGCUUUUACUCCCAAGCAAGUAGGCCUAAAAGCAGCCAUCUUUUAAAAUGCGUCAAAGCUUAGCUAAGCCAGCACCCAUCUCAUAAAUAAUACACAACCCCCUACCAAUAGUAAGUAGUUCUAUAAACUAUAGAAAAUAUUAUGCUAAAACUAGUAACAAGAAGGAACAACCCUUCUCUUUUAUACAAACAUAAACCAGCUUUGGAUAAACCACUGGUAAUUAACAGCCCUAAAUAAUAAUAGUAACAUCUCCAGAAACCCCUAUUAAUAUAUUCUGUUAACCUAACACAAGAGUAUAACAAGAAAGAUUAAAAGAGGAGGAAGGAACUCGGCAAACUAACAAUCCCGCCUGUUUACCAAAAACAUCGCCUCCUGGCCACAUAGGAGGUCCAGCCUGCCCAGUGAGUAAUUUAACGGCCGCGGUAUACUGACCGUGCAAAGGUAGCGCAAUCACUUGUUCCUUAAAUAGGGACCCGUAUGAAUGGCAUCACGAGGAUUUAACUGUCUCCCCCCUCUAAUCUGUGAAACUAAUCUCCCUGUGAAAAAGCAGGGAUAAUUACAUAAGACGAGAAGACCCUAUGGAACUUUAAACAAAUAAUACUUGCUUUUUCCCCUCUCACUUUUCCGAAGACAAACACCUAUAAGCAUACUAAUUAGAAGUUUUCGGUUGGGGUGACCGCGGAGAAGAACAUAUCCUCCGCGAUGGAAAGGCUGAACCUAUUAAAUAUAAGCCACAGCUUUAAAAAUCAGAA